rnacentral:rRNA from 1 species
UACAGAGGUCCCAAGCGUUGUUCGGAUUCACUGGGCGUAAAGGGUGCGUAGGCGGUCGGGUAAGUCUGAUGUGAAAUCUUCAAGCUUAACUUGGAAACUGCAUCGGAUACUAUUCGGCUAGAGGAAUGGAGGGGAGACUGGAAUACUUGGUGUAGCAGUGAAAUGCGUAGAUAUCAAGUGGAACACCAGUGGUGAAGGCGAGUCUCUGGACAUUUCCUGACGCUGAGGCACGAAAGCCAGGGGAGCAAACGGG